rnacentral:misc_RNA from 1 species
GGCACUCUAAUUCAGUUUAUUCACAAUAAGCAUUUCACAUUGCCAUAAUGUCACACAAUUUAUACUACCAAGUGACGAACGAGACAACCAAUGCUAUUGGCAGAUGAUGCAAUUUUGAAGCCUAAUUAAACCUUCAAGGCCUCCAUCUCCCUCUCCACAAUCUUACACCUCACCAAGCUCCCAAUAGUAUUCAAAACCAUCUUCACAUCUUCCCAUCUAUCCCCAUUAGCCAAUUUCUUAUACAAAUAGCUAUCAAAUGUCAUUCUCUGCACAUACUCAUCUCCACAUAGCUCUACCAAUGCUUCUCUCGCUGCAUUACUACCAUAAAACACUCUCUGCAGCAAGUCCAAGAAUCUGAAUGUUUUCAUGAACUUCCUAUCCCACUCUCUCAAAUACUCUCUCUUUAAAUCUUCUUCGCUUACCAUCUUCUCCCCUCCCUCAGAAGCCUUCACUAUCGCCUCUCCGCACAUUCUUCCUGACUUCGCCGCGAAGUAUAUCCCUUCGCCAGAGCACUUUGUCACGUAUCCCGCCGCAUCCCCCACCAGCGCUACUCUCCCCCGUACCCUCGUCGGACGUGGGUGCUCCGGUAUUGGGUGUGCCUCCAAUUUGAUCACUUUCCCCCCAUUGAUCUUGUGGCUUACCCUUUCUCUGAUCCCUCUCUGGUAUACUUUAAUGUCUGGUUUCGCGCACACUGUACCAGUGCCCACUGCCACGUGGUCGCAUUUGGGGAAUACCCACGCGUAGAAAUCGGGUGACACGUCAUUUCCUACGUACAUCUCUGCGAGAUUUUGGUAGUAUUCCAUUUUCUCUUCGGGUAAUCUAAUUCUCUCUUGGAAAGCGAUGGCACAAGUGUAAUUUCCAGCUUUUAUCGAUUUGGCGACUCUGCUGUUGGCUCCGUCCGCUCCGAUGAUCACAUCGACGGCUAGGGUGCGUUUGGUGUUGUUGCUCGUGUGGUGGAUGAUGUAAGGCUCGGUUGAUGAGGAAGGGACCUCGAGAUGCGUGACAAGGGCGGGAAUCAAAUGAACGCCACUUGAUUGGGCACGAGAGCGGAGGAAGGAGUCCAGUACUUCACGGCGGAGCAUGGGGAUGGACUCGUGAGGUUUGAGGGUUUUGGAGCCAAAAUCAACAGUGAGAUUAGAAGGGGAAAUGAUUUUCAUGCGAGUGACAUGGCGGUCGAUGAGGUAGAGAGGGAGGGAGAAUUCGUCGAGCAUGCAGAGAGGAAUGGCUCCGCCACAGGGCUUGGCUGUGGAAGUGCUGCGUUCGAAGAGAAAAGUUUCGAUUCCACCAGAGGUGAGGGCUUCCGCAGCAGAGGAGCCAGCUGGGCCGCCUCCAACGACGGCAACGCGUAGCUUCCGGCCAGAGAGUAGCUUGGUGGGGGAAGAAGAGGCAGUAAUAGUAAGAGUUGGGCGUUUUGAGUGGGCGCAUUCGGAGGAGGUUGUGGUUUUGAGUGGAGACAGGAAGCAUGGUUGAAAGGUGUGGGGGGUUUGUGUCAUAGACAUGGUUUGUUGAAGAAAGUAUUGGGUUUUCCAGCAAAAGGAGAGUAUGUGUGUGUGAUGUGUGCCUGUGCGGAGAUGAUGAUGGGUUUGGGCUUGGCUCUUAUGCAAGUGGCAAUGGUGGAUUUGAAUAUUUUAAAGUUUAUUUAACAUCAAGGAAUAGUAAAAUGUUGAAUUCUUUUGAACUUCUGUUUGUAUUUUAUCACUGCUUUUGAUGCCCCCUUUUUCCCCAAUCUGCACUUCAUAAUCAAAGAUUGUAUUGGAGAUCUCACAACUGAUUCAAUUUCCCAUCUGCAAGGCUUGCUAUCGGAGAUUGAGCACUUGCUUGCUUUUCUGCACACCAUGCCGCAAGAGAAGACUUGUUUGUAUAUGUUUUUAAAAUUAGACCCAAAAGUGAAGCAAUAUAAUUAUUAUUGCCUUCCGUUCAGUGCAUCCACAUCAGGGUAUUCCAAUGAACAAAUGUUUGUUCUGCUUAAUC